GGCUCGGUAGCUUAGUUGGUAAAGCACUUGUCUAGCAAAAAAGGGUCGUGAGUUCAAAUCUCACCUGAGCUG
rnacentral:tRNA from 1 species